GAGUAGGGCGGGACACGUGGUAUCCUGUCUGAAUAUGGGGGGACCAUCCUCCAAGGCUAAAUACUCCUGACUGACCGAUAGUGAACCAGUACCGUGAGGGAAAGGCGAAAAGAACCCCGGCGAGGGGAGUGAAAAAGAACCUGAAACCGUGUACGUACAAGCAGUGGGAGCCUCUUAAUGGGGUGACUGCGUACCUUUUGUAUAAUGGGUCAGCGACUUAUAUUCUGUAGCAAGGUUAACCGAAUAGGGGAGCCGAAGGGAAACCGAGUCUUAACUGGGCGUUAAGUUGCAGGGUAUAGACCCGAAACCCGGUGAUCUAGCCAUGGGCAGGUUGAAGGUUGGGUAACACUAACUGGAGGACCGAACCGACUAAUGUUGAAAAAUUAGCGGAUGACUUGUGGCUGGGGGUGAAAGGCCAAUCAAACCGGGAGAUAGCUGGUUCUCCCCGAAAGCUAUUUAGGUAGCGCCUCGUGAAUUCAUCUCCGGGGGUAGAGCACUGUUUCGGCAAGGGGGUCAUCCCGACUUACCAACCCGAUGCAAACUGCGAAUACCGGAGAAUGUUAUCACGGGAGACACACGGCGGGUGCUAACGUCCGUCGUGAAGAGGGAAACAACCCAGACCGCCAGCUAAGGUCCCAAAGUCAUGGUUAAGUGGGAAACGAUGUGGGAAGGCCCAGACAGCCAGGAUGUUGGCUUAGAAGCAGCCAUCAUUUAAAGAAAGCGUAAUAGCUCACUGGUCGAGUCGGCCUGCGCGGAAGAUGUAACGGGGCUAAACCAUGCACCGAAGCUGCGGCAGCGACACUAUGUGUUGUUGGGUAGGGGAGCGUUCUGUAAGCCUGUGAAGGUGGCCUGUGAGGGUUGCUGGAGGUAUCAGAAGUGCGAAUGCUGACAUAAGUAACGAUAAAGCGGGUGAAAAGCCCGCUCGCCGGAAGACCAAGGGUUCCUGUCCAACGUUAAUCGGGGCAGGGUGAGUCGACCCCUAAGGCGAGGCCGAAAGGCGUAGUCGAUGGGAAACAGGUUAAUAUUCCUGUACUUGGUGUUACUGCGAAGGGGGGACGGAGAAGGCUAUGUUGGCCGGGCGACGGUUGUCCCGGUUUAAGCGUGUAGGCUGGUUUUCCAGGCAAAUCCGGAAAACCAAGGCUGAGGCGUGAUGACGAGGCACUACGGUGCUGAAGUGACAAAUGCCCUGCUUCCAGGAAAAGCCUCUAAGCAUCAGGUAACAUCAAAUCGUACCCCAAACCGACACAGGUGGUCAGGUAGAGAAUACCAAGGCGCUUGAGAGAACUCGGGUGAAGGAACUAGGCAAAAUGGUGCCGUAACUUCGGGAGAAGGCACGCUGAUAUGUAGGUGAAGCGACUUGCUCGUGGAGCUGAAAUCAGUCGAAGAUACCAGCUGGCUGCAACUGUUUAUUAAAAACACAGCACUGUGCAAACACGAAAGUGGACGUAUACGGUGUGACGCCUGCCCGGUGCCGGAAGGUUAAUUGAUGGGGUUAGCGGUAACGCGAAGCUCUUGAUCGAAGCCCCGGUAAACGGCGGCCGUAACUAUAACGGUCCUAAGGUAGCGAAAUUCCUUGUCGGGUAAGUUCCGACCUGCACGAAUGGCGUAAUGAUGGCCAGGCUGUCUCCACCCGAGACUCAGUGAAAUUGAACUCGCUGUGAAGAUGCAGUGUACCCGCGGCAAGACGGAAAGACCCCGUGAACCUUUACUAUAGCUUGACACUGAACAUUGAGCCUUGAUGUGUAGGAUAGGUGGGAGGCUUUGAAGUGUGGACGCCAGUCUGCAUGGAGCCGACCUUGAAAUACCACCCUUUAAUGUUUGAUGUUCUAACGUUGGCCCCUAAUCGGGGUUGCGGACAGUGUCUGGUGGGUAGUUUGACUGGGGCGGUCUCCUCCUAAAGAGUAACGGAGGAGCACGAAGGUUGGCUAAUCCUGGUCGGACAUCAGGAGGUUAGUGCAAUGGCAUAAGCCAGCUUGACUGCGAGCGUGACGGCGCGAGCAGGUGCGAAAGCAGGUCAUAGUGAUCCGGUGGUUCUGAAUGGAAGGGCCAUCGCUCAACGGAUAAAAGGUACUCCGGGGAUAACAGGCUGAUACCGCCCAAGAGUUCAUAUCGACGGCGGUGUUUGGCACCUCGAUGUCGGCUCAUCACAUCCUGGGGCUGAAGUAGGUCCCAAGGGUAUGGCUGUUCGCCAUUUAAAGUGGUACGCGAGCUGGGUUUAGAACGUCGUGAGACAGUUCGGUCCCUAUCUGCCGUGGGCGCUGGAGAACUGAGGGGGGCUGCUCCUAGUACGAGAGGACCGGAGUGGACGCAUCACUGGUGUUCGGGUUGUCAUGCCAAUGGCACUGCCCGGUAGCUAAAUGCGGAAGAGAUAAGUGCUGAAAGCAUCUAAGCACGAAACUUGCCCCGAGAUGAGUUCUCCCUGAGACU
rnacentral:rRNA from 1 species